GCCCGUUUAGCUCAGUGGUAGUAGCGCGUCACUCGUAAUCUUGAUUACUUUGUCUUAUUCCGAGGCCAUGAUGAGGUCAGCCGUUCGAUCCGGCUAACGGGCA